rnacentral:rRNA from 1 species
UACGAGGGGUGCAAGCGUUGCUCGGAAUUAUUGGGCGUAAAGGGUAGGUAGGUGGUCUCAUUUGUCCGGGGUGAAAGCCUUGAGCUUAACUCAAGAAGUGCCUCGGAAACGGUGAGACUCGAGUAUUGGGGAGGCUAGCGGAAUUCCCGGUGUAGCGGUGAAAUGCGUAGAGAUCGGGAGGAACACCAGAGGCGAAGGCGGCUAGCUGGACAAUGACUGACACUCAACUACGAAAGCGUGGGUAGCAAACAGG